UACGUAGGGGGCUAGCGUUGUCCGGAAUCAUUGGGCGUAAAGCGCGUGUAGGCGGUCCGGUAAGUCCGCUGUGAAAGUCGGGGGCUCAACCCUGGGAUGCCGGUGGAUACUGUCGGGCUUGAGUACGGAAGAGGCGAGUGGAAUUCCUGGUGUAGCGGUGAAAUGCGCAGAUAUCAGGAGGAACACCAAAUGCGAAGGCAGCUCGCUGGGACGUUACUGACGCUGAGACGCGAAAGCGUGGGGAGCAAACAGG
rnacentral:rRNA from 1 species